AGCGAACGCUGGCGGCAGGCCUAACACAUGCAAGUCGAACGAACUCUUCGGAGUUAGUGGCGGACGGGUGAGUAACACGUGGGAACGUGCCUUUAGGUUCGGAAUAACUCAGGGAAACUUGUGCUAAUACCGAAUGUGCCCUUCGGGGGAAAGAUUUAUCGCCUUUAGAGCGGCCCGCGUCUGAUUAGCUAGUUGGUGAGGUAAAGGCUCACCAAGGCGACGAUCAGUAGCUGGUCUGAGAGGAUGAUCAGCCACAUUGGGACUGAGACACGGCCCAAACUCCGAAGGGAGGAAGCGGUGGGGAAUCUUGCGCAAUGGGCGAAAGCCUGACGCAGCCAUGCCGAGUGAAUGAUGAAGGUCUUAGGAUUGUAAAAUUCUUUCACCGGGGACGAUAAUGACGGUACACGGAGAAGAAGCCCCGGCUAACUU
rnacentral:rRNA from 1 species